CGCUGCGGGCAGCGGUGCUGCCUGGCGCCUUCGGGCUGUGGAGGCUGGGACAGGCCGGAACUCCCGCCGGGCAGCGCCUCUGCGGAGAGGCACGUGGCGGGCAACAAGCCUCCAGAUAAUUCUGUUCUCUUGGGACUCAUUUCACUGAGGUCCAAGUCACCUCAUCACUAAAGUUUGCAGAAGCAGUCAAGCUGAUGUGUAGGCGUAACUGAAUUUUGCUGCCCAAAAGGGUCCCAAAAGAUGGAGAUCUAAAGAUAGCCUGGAACAGUUGCUCCUGCUGCCACGCUGAAGUUGGGAAGAAUGGAGACAGCACGUAGAGUUUUUAUGAGUUACCAUCCGUUCCGUGGACUUUGGCACAGCAACAGAGGCAGACCACAAGUGUUUCGCUGCCCCCCCCCGCUGCCUACUCCAUAUUUUGCUUUCCCCUAUGGCUUCCUGCAAGCUUCUUUUAGCUUGAUUUUUAAUUUUCUGAUUGACUUAGAAUUCAGUGCAAUGUUCCCUAGAGGUCAGCUGAGCUGGAAAAGAUGAUGAGAUACAAUUGUAAAGAAAUGGUGAAUUUUUAGUAGCAGUCACAGUCUGUUACUCUGGGAUACCUGGUUACAUCGAGAGCCACAAACUAAUUCUCAUUUUUGUUUUGUUUUCAUACUUAGACUGUGUGAGAGAGGACUCAACUUCUGGUCUUUUUCCAAAGUAUAGAGACCUGGUAGAAGUGACAGUGAAAGUGAUUUAGCUACCUAUUGAAAAGAAUAGAGUGCAGGCUUCCUGUGCAUCUUGAUACUGCUAGCUUUCUUUUGUUUAUAGUUAUAUGGACCUGCUAAGAGCUUCAUUCACAUGACAAUUAAAGUGAAUUAUUUUGACCCUUUUCUAAAUUUGGCUCAAAACACUCAGCUGUAGAGUCAUUUGUCCUUAUUUCUCAGCUCACUAUUUUGAGAGCAGAUGGAGUGUGACGUGUAUGUGUCCUAGAAUCAGUGUCCCUGGGAGAAUUUCUGAGAUCCUCUGAAAUCCAGCAUUAUAAUUGAAUAUUGUCAGUGAUGACUAGCCUUUUUCUCUUGUAUUGGUUUCCAUAUAAGGACCAUGAGUGCUCUUUCAUCUACUGGCUUACCAGACCAAGCCAUGUAUUCCUAACAGAUCUUGGGAAGAAAGCACUAUUCUCUUUGAAUUCUUGGGAAAUUCCAACUGUAUUCUAGCAAAAUUGAACCUAUGUUCUUCCUCUCAGGAUGUACUUAUAUAUUAGCAUAGGAAAACUUUUUCUGCUGGGAUUUUGUGUGAAAGUGAUUUAUUUUAGAGGAAGUACCUUAUUUAGUUCUGUGCUAUUUCCUGAACUUGGGCAUGUUUCAAACUUUGUGUUACCAUCCUCUUUUAUUAAUGCUUUUAUGAGUGUUUGAUUAAUGUAUAUUUGAGGAUCUCUGUAGGGUUAGCUGUAUCACCUCAGCAUAGAAAACUACCCUGUUGGGGUUUUAGGAGUUCUCCUAGGUUUUUUUCUGUUAAAGGAAUUUUCCCCAUAUGUGUUGCUAGGGGGACAAAUUGCUGGAUACUGAAGAAAAACAACGACCUAACCAUUGGGGGAGGGGUGCAUCUGGCUACUCUUUUGUUUCACCUGGGUGUGCGGUCAAUCGGUCUCCGGCGUUUGGACAGAGAGGGAGGCUGCUUUCUUCGGCUGCUUUUCCUUCUGCUGGAGAAAGCCCCGGGAUCCCAAAGCCG